AGCGAACGCUGGCGGCAGGCUUAACACAUGCAAGUCGAGCGGGCAUCUUCGGAUGUCAGCGGCAGACGAGUGAGUAACACGUGGGAACGUAUACUUCGGUUCGGAACAACUCUGGGAAACUGGAGCUAAUACCGGAUACGCUCUUAUGGGGAAUGGUUUACUGCGGAAGGAUCGGCCCUCGUCUGAUUAGCUCUUUGGUGGGGUAACGGCCUACCAAGGCGACGAGCAGUAGCUGGACUGAGAGGAUGAUCAGCCACACUGGGACUGAGACACGGCCCAGACUCCUACGGGAGGCAGCAGUGGGGAAUAUUGGGCAAUGGGCGCAAGCCUGAUCCAGCCAUGCCGCGUGAGUGAGGAAGGCCUUAGGGUUGUAAAGCUCUUUUGUCCGGGACGAUAAUGACGGUACCGGAAGAAUAAGCCCCGGCUAACUUCGUG
rnacentral:rRNA from 1 species